AUUGCUCAUUCGUCGUGCUUUUCAAGACCCCAUGCAGCACGGUCCCUGGCCAAAAGAACGAAUGAAGAACAUAAUUGUUGGAUAAACAUUUAUUCAUUUGUCAUAGAAAGUAUGUCCCCUUGCCCGUAUACAAUGUCUUGCAUGAGAAACCAUAAAACCCAAACUCUUUGAUCUUAAUUUAUUUAAUCGAGGCAUAUUCCAAAAGCGAACGAAGACCAUGCAACUUUAUAAUACGAACUCCCAAAGGAUGUCAAGUAUGUCAAACGUUUUUAAAUGUUUCAUGCUUAUUUCGCUUCCCAGGAAACACGAAAGGCUAACUUAUACUAGUACAUUAUAUUAAAGUUGAGUUGAAAUACUAAAAUUGAAAUUGUUAGUAAUUUUUGUGGAAAAUGGCAAUUGUUUUCAUACAAAUUUGAUCAGCCAUGUUUCUCGAUUUUUUACUCAUUUUUAAAGCGUGCGCCAAAUUCAAAUAUUUGUAUGUGACGUAAUAUAUUACAUGCAUUUUUAGGGCUCUAUAUCAAAAUCUAAGUUAGCCUUUCCUCAACACAAUGAAAUGUAUUUAAGUGUAAUAGCCGUUUAGUAUAAUUUCGACCUUACAUGAAAUCAAACUGUUACUAUAAAUUCUCCACGUGAGAUUUAUUCCUUUGCUGGUUCUCGAAU